rnacentral:tRNA from 1 species
GUGUUUUUAGUUUAAUAAGGAUAAAACAUCAAUCUUCUAAAUUGAAUAUAAAGGUUCAAGUCCUUUAAAACAUC